CAGCGCCUCAGCGCAAGAACCUGUCAACGCCCAGAUCCCGACAUACAGUACGAAGUGCUGCCAGUGAUGACAUUCGAAAUGGCUCUCACGGCAAGGUCUGGCAGUGGAUCCAUCAUCCGAUCCAGGCACCGCGAAGACAUCUCUAGAUCAAGAUCCAGGUACCGCAAAAACAUCUCUAGGUCAAGAUCCAGGCACCACGAAGACAUCUCUAGAUCAAGAUCCAGGCACCACGAAGACAUCUC